AGGGCAAGUCUGGUGCCAGCAGCCGCGGUAAUUCCAGCUCCAAUAGCGUAUAUUAAAGUUGUUGCAGUUAAAAAGCUCGUAGUUGAAUUUCGGGGUCAGCAGGUUGGUCGUGCCAAUGGUAUGCACUGGCCUUGCUGAUUCCUCCCUCUUGAUGAGCCGUAAUGCCAUUAAUUUGGUGUUGUGGGGAAUCAGGACUGUUACUUUGAAAAAAUUAGAGUGUUUAAAGCAGGCAAGCGCUUGAAUACAUUAGCAUGGAAUAAUGAAAUAGGACGUUCGAUCCUAUUUUGUUGGUUUCUAGGAUUGACGUAAUGAUUAAUAGGGACAGUUGGGGGCAUUAGUAUUCAAUUGUCAGAGGUGAAAUUCUUGGAUUUAUUGAAGACUAACUACUGCGAAAGCAUUUGCCAAGGAUGUUUUCAUUAAUCAGGAACGAAAGUUAGGGGAUCGAAGACGAUCAGAUACCGUCGUAGUCUUAACCAUAAACUAUGCCGACUAGGGAUCGGAUGAUGUUAAUUUUUUAAUGACUCAUUCGGCGCCUUACGGGAA
rnacentral:rRNA from 1 species